rnacentral:rRNA from 1 species
CCAGACUCCUACGUGAGGCAGCAGUGAGGAAUAUUGCGCAAUGGGCGAAAGCCUUGCCGCAGCGACGCCGCGUGGGGGAAGAAGGUCUUCGGAUUGUAAACCCCUUUCAGGAGGAAAGCUGGGGUGGGUAACCACUCGGACGGUACCUCCAGAAGAAGCCACGGCUAACUUCGUGCCAGCAGCCGCGGUAAUACGAAGGUGGCGAGCGUUGUUUGGAUUUACUGGGCGUAAAGAGCACGUAGGCGGUUUGGUAAGCCCCUUGGGAAAGCUCCAGGCUUAACCUGGAAAGGUCGAGGGGGACUGCCAGGCUAGAGGACGGGAGAGGAGCGCGGAAUUCCCGGUGUAGCGGUGAAAUGCGUAGAUAUCAGGAGGAAGGCCGG